rnacentral:rRNA from 1 species
GAUACCCUAUUAUUUUGAAUGUUAAAAAUUUAUCCCAGAUUAUUAAAAGUUAUGUUCUUUAAAAUUAAAAAAUUUGGCGGUAUUUUAGUCUGUUCAGAGGAACCUGUUUUUUAAUUGAUAAUCCACGAUAAUUAAUACUUUAAUUUUAAAUUUAUAUAUCGUCGUUUAUAAAAAUUUUAGAAGAAAAAUAAUUUUUGGUAUUUUAAAUUAAAUUGGAUUUCAGAUCAAGGUGUAGUUAAUGUUAAAGUUAAAAUGGGUUACAUUGCAGUUAUGUUUGGAUUUUAAUUUUAAAAUUUAAAUGAAAUUGGAUUUGACAGUAAAUUUUUUAUUUAUGAAAAUUGAUUUAGCUCUAAAAUAUGCACACAUCGCC